GAUGAACGCUGGCGGCGUGCCUAAUACAUGCAAGUCGAGCGAACGGACGAGAAUCUUGCUUCUCUGAUGUUAGCGGCGGACGGGUGAGGAACACGUGGAUAACCUACCUAUAAGACUGGGAUAACUUCGGGAAACCUGAUCUAAUACCGGAUAAGAUUUUGAACCGCAGGGUUCAACAGUGAAAGACGUUCUUGCUGUCACUUAUAGAGGUAUCCGCGCUGCAUUAGCUAGUUGGUAAGGUAACGGCCUACCAAGGCAACGAUGCAUAGCCGACCUGAGAGGGUGAUCGGCCACACUGGAACUGAGACACGGUCCAGACUCCUACGGGAGGCAGCAGUAGGGAAUAUUCCGCAAUGGGCGAAAGCCUGACGGAGCAACGCCGCGUGAGUGAUGAAGGUCUUCGGAUCGUAAAACUCUGUUAUUAGGGAAGAACAUAUGUGUAAGUAACUGCGCCCAUCUUGACGGUACCUACUCAGAAAGCACCGGCUAACUACGUG
rnacentral:rRNA from 1 species